UAUUGCACAAUGGGCGCAAGCCUGAUGCAGCGACGCCGCGUGAGGGAUGACGGCCUUCGGGUUGUAAACCUCUUUCAGCAGGGAAGAAGCGAAAGUGACGGUACCUGCAGAAGGAGCACCGGCUAACUACGUGCCAGCAGCCGCGGUAAUACGUAGGGUGCGAGCGUUGUCCGGAAUUAUUGGGCGUAAAGGGCUUGUAGGCGGUUUGUCGCGUCUGCUGUGAAAAUCCGGGGCUCAACCCCGGACUUGCAGUGGGUACGGGCAGACUAGAGUGUGGUAGGGGAGACUGGAAUUCCUGGUGUAGCGGUGAAAUGCGCAGAUAUCAGGAGGAACACCGAUGGCGAAGGCAGGUCUCUGGGCCACUACUGACGCUGAGAAGCGAAAGCAUGGGGAGCGAACAGG
rnacentral:rRNA from 1 species